GAGCGGCUAGGACCCUCCCUUCCAGUCGUGCCGCUCUCGGGCACCAGAGCUCCUGACCGCUGCCCGGCCGGCGUCCUAAACGGAAGCCGACGCUGGUGGCAGCGGCGCGGCUCCGGGAGACCGGGAGGGGGCGGGCAGCCGGAGGAAACCGACACGCGGCAGCUCGGCGUGUGCGUUUCACUCGGGGGAAGCCCGGCGGUGAGAAGCGCCCGACCGCGGGCAGGGGCGCGCGGAAUCGCCGCCUCCGCCCUGACAGCCAGGCCCGUGUGAGUCGGGCCUCGGGGCGAGCAGCGGCUGGCGGCGUGGAGCCCGGGCGGCCGCAAGGCCGCGCGGGCGGCGGGCGUGUGUCGGCUCUCGCCGGAAGUUGCUAGGAGAUGGGACCGGAAGUUCCGCCCCUCCGCAAGAGAGGAAAACGGAAAGCCAAAGAAGACAAUCUAAAGAAGGGGAGAUGCGUCCGGCUGGAAGUGUCUGAGCCGGAGGGCCAAGUGGGGUUUGGGGAGAGUCCCCAAGCGGAUUUCUCUGGACAUUCUUCCCUUCCGUGUCCCAUGUCUCCUCACCCCACCCCGUCCCCCGCCCGCCCGCCGUAGAGGACCCCUGAGGGCGGCGCGUGAGCGCAGAGGGCGGCGCGGGGCGAGCGGCCGCUGUCCUGGGCCUUCCGGGCCCCGAACGGUGCCCGGCGCUUCUAGGCGGCCGUCUACGGGGACACGGUUUCUCUGCUGGGCCAGGCGCGUGCGCAACCCUAGAUGUUGAAGACAGUCUGUCGGUGGACUCCAAGAAAGGAUCCUCGGAGUCACGGGCCGCAGGGAGCCACGAGCCGAGUUCCGAUACUAAAGGGGAGGCAGAGCACCGAGUGUGGUGGCCGGCCAGUUGGGCAAUAAAAGCCGAAAACGCCCUAGGUGUUUAAAAAGCCCCCGCUGGACCGUUUUUAUUAACGGUAGUGACGCAGCGCAAGAAUUGUUAGGAAGAAAGUAAGGCACGACCGAAGCGUGGUCGUCCCCGCCGCCGCCUGCCCCUCUUGCGGGAGCAUCCGCGGACCUGAAGCUUACAGCCCUUCCCCGGAAACUCCAGAUCCAGGAAGGAAGACCGCGGCUUGCAAAGUGCUCUGACGGACACCUAUAUAGAGAUGAGAGGCGACAUCCCACUUGCGAUCAGCUUGAGACACCGCUUGCUCAGCAUUUUUGACUUUAUCUUGUGCGCAGAUGUUGAAGAGAGCAAGGAGGCCUUCACUGACGGGGCA